rnacentral:rRNA from 1 species
AGAAUCAACGCUGGCGGCGUGCCUAACACAUGCAAGUCGAACGAGGAAGUGGAGCAAUCCAUGAGUAAAGUGGCGUACGGGUGAGUAACACGUGACUAACCUACCCUCGAGUGGGGGAAUAACCUCGGGAAACCGGGGCUAAUACCGCAUAACAUCUACUGAUCAAAUGCGUAAGCAGCUUGAGGAGGGGGUCGCGGCCGAUUAGCUAGUUGGCGGGGUAAUGGCCCACCAAGGCAAUGAUCGGUAGCCGGCCUGAGAGGGCGCACGGCCACACUGGAACUGAAACACGGUCCAGACUCCUACGGGAGGCAGCAGUGGGGAAUUUUGCGCAAUGGGGGAAACCCUGACGCAGCAACGCCGCGUGGAGGAUGAAGCCCCUUGGGGUGUAAACUCCUUCGAUCGGGACGAUUAUGACGGUACCGGAUGAAGAAGCACCGGCUAACUCUGCGCCAGCAGCCGC